ACAUCCAGAGAAUUUAGCAGAGAUGCUUUUAGUGCCCUUCGGGAACUCUGAGACAGGUGCUGCAUGGCUGUCGUCAGCUCGUGUUGUGAAAUGUUGGUUAAGUCCCGNAACGAGCGCAACCCUUAUCCUUUGUUGCCAGCACGUAAUGGUGGGAACUCAAAGGAGACUGCCGGUGAUAAACCGGAGGAAGGUGGGGAUGACGUCAAGUCAUCAUGGCCCUUACGAGUAGGGCUACACACGUGCUACAAUGGCGCAUACAAAGAGAAGCGACCUCGCGAGAGCAAGCGGACCUCAUAAAGUGCGUCGUAGUCCGGAUUGGAGUCUGCAACUCGACUCCAUGAAGUCGGAAUCGCUAGUAAUCGUAAAUCAGAAUGUUACGGUGAAUACGUUCCCGGGCCUUGUACACACCGCCCGUCACACCAUGGGAGUGGGUUGCAAAAGAAGUAGAUAGCUUAACCUUCGGGAGGGCGUUUACCACUUUGUGAUUCAUGACUGGGGUGAAGUCGUAACAAGGUAAGCGUAGUGCU
rnacentral:rRNA from 1 species